rnacentral:rRNA from 1 species
GUCGAGAAUCUUUCACAAUGGGGGCAACCCUGAUGGAGCGACGCCGCGUGGAGGAUAAGGUCUUCGGAUUGUAAACUCCUGUCAUGCGUGAACAAGGUUGCUUGGUUAAUACCUGGGCAAAUUGAUGGUAACGCAAGAGGAAGAGACGGCUAACUCUGUGCCAGCAGCCGCGGUAAUACAGAGGUCUCAAGCGUUGUUCGGAAUCACUGGGCGUAAAGGGUGCGUAGGUGGCGUGGUAAGUCAGAUGUGAAAGCCCGGGGCUCAACAUCGGAACUGCAUCCGAUAGUGGCAUGCUAGAGUACUGGAGAGGUGACUAGAAUUCUCGGUGUAGCAGUGAAAUGCGUAGAUAUCGAGAGGAAUAACAAAGGCGUAGGCAGGUCACUGGACAGUUACUGACACUGAGGCACGAAGGCCAGGGGAGCGAACGGGAUUAGAAACCCGGGUAGUCC